UACGUAGGGGGCAAGCGUUGUCCGGAUUUAUUGGGCGUAAAGAGCGUGUAGGCGGCCAUGUAGGUCCGUUGUGAAAACUCGAGGCUCAACCUCGAGACGCCGAUGGAAACCAUGUGGCUAGAGUCCGGAAGAGGAGAGUGGAAUUCCUGGUGUAGCGGUGAAAUGCGCAGAUAUCAGGAGGAACACCGGUGGCGAAGGCGGUUCUCUGGGCAUUACCUGACGCUGAGGAGCGAAAGCAUGGGGAGCGAACAGG
rnacentral:rRNA from 1 species